CGUAGGUGGCAAGCGUUGUCCGGAAUUAUUGGGCGUAAAGCGCGCGCAGGCGGCUUCUUAAGUCCAUCUUAAAAGUGCGGGGCUUAACCCCGUGAUGGGAUGGAAACUGAGAGGCUGGAGUAUCGGAGAGGAAAGUGGAAUUCCUAGUGUAGCGGUGAAAUGCGUAGAGAUUAGGAAGAACACCGGUGGCGAAGGCGACUCUCUGGACGACAACUGACGCUGAGGCGCGAAAGCGUGGGGAGCAA
rnacentral:rRNA from 1 species